rnacentral:rRNA from 1 species
CCUACGGGCGGCUGCAGUGGGGAAUAUUGGACAAUGGGGGGAACCCUGAUCCAGCCAUGCCGCGUGUGUGAAGAAGGCCCUCGGGUUGUAAAGCACUUUCAGUGAGGAAGAACGCCUGGUGGUUAAUACCCAUCAGGAAAGACAUCACUCACAGAAGAAGCACCGGCUAACUCCGUGCCAGCAGCCGCGGUAAUACGGAGGGUGCGAGCGUUAAUCGGAAUUACUGGGCGUAAAGCGCGCGUAGGUGGCUUGAUAAGCCGGUUGUGAGAGCCCCGGGCUCAACCUGGGAACGGCAUCCGGAACUGUCAAGCUAGAGUACAGGAGAGGAAGGUAGAAUUCCCGGUGUAGCGGUGAAAUGCGUAGAGAUCGGGAGGAAUACCAGUGGCGAAGGCGGCCUUCUGGACUGACACUGACACUGAGGUGCGAAAGCGUGGGUAGCAAACAGGAUUAGAUACCCCUGUAGUC